rnacentral:rRNA from 1 species
CCUACGGGUGGCAGCAGUGAGGAAUAUUGGUCAAUGGACGAGAGUCUGAACCAGCCAAGUAGCGUGAAGGAUGACUGCCCUAUGGGUUGUAAACUUCUUUUAUAAAGGAAUAAAACGAGGCACGUGUGCCUUUUUGCAUGUACUUUAUGAAUAAGGAUCGGCUAACUCCGUGCCAGCAGCCGCGGUAGUACGGAGGAUCCGAGCGUUAUCCGGAUUUAUUGGGUUUAAAGGGAGCGUAGAUGGGUUGUUAAGUCAGUGGUGAAAGUUUGCGGCUCAACCGUAAAAUUGCAAUUGAUACUGGCAGUCUUGAGUACAGUUGAGGUAAGCGGAAUUCGUGGUGUAGCGGUGAAAUGCUUAGAUAUCACGAAGAACCCCGAUUGCGAAGGCAGCUUACCAAACUGUGACUGACAUUGAUGCUCGAAAGUGUGGGUAUCAAACAGGAUUAGAUACCCCAGUAGUC